UACGGGGGGGUGCGAGCGUUGUCCGGAAUCACUGGGCGUAAAGGGUGCGUAGGUGGCGCGGUAAGUCGGGGUGUGAAAUUUCGGAGCUUAACUCCGAAACUGCAUUCGAUACUGCCGUGCUUGAGGACUGGAGAGGAGACUGGAAUUUACGGUGUAGCAGUGAAAUGCGUAGAGAUCGUAAGGAAGACCAGUGGCGAAGGCGGGUCUCUGGACAGUUCCUGACACUGAGGCACGAAGGCCAGGGGGAGCAAAACGGGG
rnacentral:rRNA from 1 species